rnacentral:misc_RNA from 1 species
GAAAUGCGAUAAGUAAUGUGAAUUGCAGAAUUCCGUGAAUCAUCGAAUCUUUUAACGCACAUUGCGCCCUCUGGCAUUCCGGGGGGCAUGCCUGUCCGAGCGUCAUUACGCACCCUCAAGCCCGGCUUGUGUGAUGGGCCCCGGCGUCUCGUUCGCGAGACGGGCCCGAAAGGCAGCGGCGGCGUCGACCCGAUGAGCCCGAGCGUAUGGGGACUUCUGUCACACGUUCGCGGUGCGGACCGGCGCCUGCUUGACUUUUCUGAUUAUCCAGGUUAACCUCGGAUCAGGUAGGGAUACCCGCUGAACUUAAGC